UAGUCCACGCCGUAAACGAUGGUCACUAGUUGUUGGGGUUUACCUCAGUGACUAAGCGAAAGUGAUAAGUGACCCACCUGGGGAGUACGUUCGCAAGAAUGAAACUCAAAGGAAUUGACGGGGGCCCGCACAAGCGGUGGAGCAUGUGGUUUAAUUCGAUGAUACGCGAGGAACCUUACCAGGGCUUAAAUGUAAGUUGCAUUAGUUAGAGAUAGCUAUUUCUUCGGACUACUUACAAGGUGCUGCAUGGUUGUCGUCAGCUCGUGCCGUGAGGUGUCAGGUUAAGUCCUAUAACGAGCGCAACCCCUAUCGUUAGUUGCUAACAGGUUAAGCUGAGGACUCUAGCGAGACUGCCGGUGCAAACCGAGAGGAAGGUGGGGAUGACGUCAAAUCAUCGCGGCCCUUACGUCCUGGGCCACACACGUGCUACAAUGGUAGGGACAGAGAGCAGCCACAACGCGAGUUGGAGCGAAUCUAUAAACCCUAUCACAGUUCGGAUCGGAGU
rnacentral:rRNA from 1 species